rnacentral:rRNA from 1 species
CACUGUUAACGGUGGAUCACUUGGCUCGUACGUCGAUGAAAAACGAGGCGAGACUCGAAAGUUUAUGUGAAUUGCAGCCACGUUGAACAUAGAAAUUUUGAACGCACAUUGCGGGUGUUGAGUUGACUCGACGCCCGCGUCCUGUCUUGAGGGUCG